UUAAGUGAAUAAGGGCGCACGGUGGAUGCCUUGGCACUAGGAGCCGAUGAAGGACGGGACUAACACCGAUAUGCUUUGGGGAGCUGUACGUAAGCUAUGAUCCAGAGAUUUCCGAAUGGGGGAACCCAACAUCUUUAAUAGGAUGUUACGAUUGUGUGAAUACAUAGCACAUUCGAGGUAGACGCAGAGAACUGAAACAUCUAAGUACCUGCAGGAAGAGAAAGAAAAUUCGAUUCCCUGAGUAGCGGCGAGCGAAACGGGAAAAGCCCAAACCAGCAAGCUUGCUUGUUGGGGUUGUAGGACUCCAAUAUGGUAGUUCUUUCAGAUAGUCGAAUGACUUGGAAAAGUCAGUCAAAGAGGGUAAAAACCCCGUAGACGAAAUGUGGAAGACACCUAGGAGGAUCCUGAGUACGGCGGAACACGAGAAAUUCCGUCGGAAUCCGGGAGGACCAUCUCCCAAGGCUAAAUACUCCCUAGUGACCGAUAGUGAACCAGUACCGUGAGGGAAAGGUGAAAAGCACCCCGGAAGGGGAGUGAAAUAGAACCUGAAACCGUGUGCCUACAACAAGUCAAAGCCCGUUAAUGGGUGAUGGCGUGCCUUUUGUAGAAUGAACCGGCGAGUUACGAUUGCAUGCGAGGUUAAGUUGAAGAGACGGAGCCGCAGCGAAAGCGAGUCUGAAUAGGGCGUUUGAGUAUGUAGUCGUAGACCCGAAACCAUGUGAUCUACCCAUGUCCAGGUUGAAGGUGCGGUAAAACGCACUGGAGGACCGAACCCACGUACGUUGAAAAGUGCGGGGAUGAGGUGUGGGUAGCGGAGAAAUUCCAAACGAACUUGGAGAUAGCUGGUUCUCUCCGAAAUAGCUUUAGGGCUAGCCUCGGAAUUGAGAAUGAUGGAGGUAGAGCACUGUUUGGACUAGGGGCCCAUCUCGGGUUACCGAAUUCAGAUAAACUCCGAAUGCCAUUCAUUCAUAUCCGGGAGUCAGACUGUGAGUGAUAAGAUCCAUAGUCGAAAGGGAAACAGCCCAGACCACCAGCUAAGGUCCCAAAAUAUAUGUUAAGUGGAAAAGGAUGUGGGGUUGCACAGACAACUAGGAUGUUGGCUUAGAAGCAGCCACCAUUUAAAGAGUGCGUAAUAGCUCACUAGUCGAGUGACCCUGCGCCGAAAAUGUACCGGGGCUAAACAUAUUACCGAAGCUGUGGAGUACACCUUUAGGUGUAUUGGUAGGAGAGCGUUCUAAGGGCGUUGAAGGCAGAUCGUGAGGACUGCUGGAGCGCUUAGAAGUGAGAAUGCCGGUAUGAGUAGCGAAAGACAGGUGAGAAUCCUGUCCACCGAAUGACUAAGGUUUCCUGAGGAAGGCUCGUCCGCCCAGGGUUAGUCGGGACCUAAGCCGAGGCCGACAGGCGUAGGCGAUGGAUAACAGGUUGAUAUUCCUGUACCCGUUGUUUUUGUUUGAGCAAUGGAGGGACGCAGGAGGCUAAGGAAUGCAGACGAUCGGAAAUGUCUGUCCAAGCAGUAAGUCUGAAGAGGAGUCAAAUGCUUCUUUUCUUAAGGACAAGCUGUGAUGGGGAGGGAAAUAAUAGUACCGAAGUUCCUGAUGUCACACUGCCGAGAAAAGCUUCUAGUGAGAAAACAGCGGCCCGUACCGCAAACCGACACAGGUAGUCGAGGAGAGAAUCCUAAGGUGAGCGAGAGAACUCUCGUUAAGGAACUCGGCAAAAUGACCCCGUAACUUCGGGAGAAGGGGUGCUGAUCAUACGAUCAGCCGCAGUGAAUAGGCCCAAGCGACUGUUUAUCAAAAACACAGGCCUCUGCAAAAUCGUAAGAUGAAGUAUAGGGGCUGACGCCUGCCCGGUGCUGGAAGGUUAAGAGGAGUGCUUAGCGCAAGCGAAGGUACGAAUUGAAGCCCCAGUAAACGGCGGCCGUAACUAUAACGGUCCUAAGGUAGCGAAAUUCCUUGUCGGGUAAGUUCCGACCCGCACGAAAGGCGUAACGAUUUGGGCACUGUCUCAACGAGAGACUCGGUGAAAUUUUAGUACCUGUGAAGAUGCAGGUUACCCGCGACAGGACGGAAAGACCCCAUGGAGCUUUACUGUAGUUUGAUAUUGAGUGUCUGUACCGCAUGUACAGGAUAGGUAGGAGCCGUAGAAAUCGGAACGCUAGUUUCGAUGGAGGCGCUGGUGGGAUACUACCCCUGCGUUAUGGCCACUCUAACCCGCACCACUAAUCGUGGUGGGAGACAGUGUCAGAUGGGCAGUUUGACUGGGGCGGUCGCCUCCUAAAAGGUAACGGAGGCGCCCAAAGGUUCCCUCAGAAUGGUUGGAAAUCAUUCGAAGAGUGUAAAGGCAGAAGGGAGCUUGACUGCGAGACCAACAAGUCGAGCAGGGACGAAAGUCGGGCUUAGUGAUCCGGUGGUUCCGCAUGGAAGGGCCAUCGCUCAACGGAUAAAAGCUACCCUGGGGAUAACAGGCUUAUCUCCCCCAAGAGUCCACAUCGACGGGGAGGUUUGGCACCUCGAUGUCGGCUCGUCGCAUCCUGGGGCUGUAGUCGGUCCCAAGGGUUGGGCUGUUCGCCCAUUAAAGCGGCACGCGAGCUGGGUUCAGAACGUCGUGAGACAGUUCGGUCCCUAUCCGUCGCGGGCGUUGGAAAUUUGAGAGGAGCUGUCCUUAGUACGAGAGGACCGGGAUGGACUUACCGCUGGUGUACCAGUUGUUCUGCCAAGGGCAUUGCUGGGUAGCUAUGUAGGGAAGGGAUAAACGCUGAAAGCAUCUAAGUGUGAAGCCCACCUCAAGAUGAGAUUUCCCAUUUCUUUAAGAAAGUAAGAUCCCUGAGAGAUGAUCAGGUAGAUAGGUCAGGAGUGGAAGUACAGUGAUGUAUGGAGCGGACUGAUACUAAUCGAUCGAGGACUUAACCAA
rnacentral:rRNA from 1 species